rnacentral:lncRNA from 1 species
ACAUGGUCGUGACUCAGGUAGUAAGUAUUAUUUCGUGCCAUUUAGAAUUGCUGCAAGCUACGGUAACAACAGUUGUGUAGUAUGAGCUUGAUAAGUAGUUGAGAAGAAGGCAGUUCGAAGUAGUUGAGCAAACACUUCCAUCAUCUAAUUGCAAUUUAGGUAGACGUCAUUCAGCGACUGCAAUAGAUUUGGAAACACAUUUGUAGGAGCACAC